CAAACAGCUUCUCUUUAUUGAAAGACCUGAACACAAAGUCAAGCUGGGGCUGCAGAAGAAGGCAGGAACAUUCCUCAGACUCUGCUCUGACUCCUAGAGUAUCAGGGAAGGAGGAAAAGGAAAUACAGAGUGAUUGCCCUGGCUUGCUCCAGACUCAGGGUUCCAUGCUAGGCCAAACAAGGCCAGAGGGGCUGCUGGCUCCAUGUCUGCACUGCACACUUGGGCGUCAGGCUUCCAGGAGCUUCCCUAGGAAGCGGAGGUUUAGAAUCUUGAUCUGCUGGUCCUCUAGGUCCAUGCGGAUGAUGCCAUCCUCACCAUCAAUGCUCAGUAGGACCCCGGUAGCCUCUCGGUCCUCACCCAGAAUCACCUUCACCUGGAGCUUCUUGCAGUGCAGGAAGGCAAAGCUGCGGUACAGAUGGCGGAUCUCACCCUCUCGGCCCUGGGCAGG
rnacentral:lncRNA from 1 species